UACGGAGGGUGCAAGCGUUAUCCGGAUUCACUGGGUUUAAAGGGUGCGUAGGCGGGCAGGGAAGUCAGUGGUGAAAUCUCCGGGCUUAACUCGGAAACUGCCGUUGAUACUCUCUGUCUUGAAUAUUGUGGAGGUGAGCGGAAUAUGUCAUGUAGCGGUGAAAUGCUUAGAUAUGACAUAGAACACCAAUUGCGAAGGCAGCUCGCUACACAUAUAUUGACGCUGAGGCACGAAAGCGUGGGGAUCAAACAGGAUUAGAUACCCCCGUAGUCC
rnacentral:rRNA from 1 species